rnacentral:rRNA from 1 species
UGCUUACAAUCAUUCAGAGCCCUAUGAUUUAUCAGGGUGAUGGACUGCCUUUUGCAUAAUGAGCCUGCGAGUUGUGAUGUCUGGCAAGGUUAAGGAAACCCGGAGCCGUAGCGAAAGCGAGUCUUAAUAGGGCGUUUAGUCAGACGUUGCAGACCCGAAACGAUGUGAUCUAUCCAUGAGCAGGUUGAAACCGGUGUAAGAGCCGGUGGAGGACCGAACCCGCUAGCGUUGAAAAGCUAUGGGAUGACUUGUGGAUAGGGGUGAAAGGCCAAUCAAACAUCGUGAUAGCUGGUUCUCUCCGAAAUAUAUUUAGGUAUAGCGUCAUGUAGUAACACUAGGGGGUAGAGCACUGAAUGGGCUAGGGCAUACACCAAUGUACCAAACCCUAUCAAACUCCGAAUACCUAGUGUGUAAUCAUGGCAGUCAGGCGGCGAGUGAUAAAAUCCGUCGUCGAGAGGGGAACAACCCAGACUAACAGCUAAGGUCCCUAAAUCUCAUUUAAGUGGAAAACGAUGUGGAGUUACUUAAACAACCAGGAGGUUGGCUUAGAAGCAGCCAUCCUUUAAAGAAAGCGUAAUAGCUCACUGGUCUAGUGAUUCUGCGCGGAAAAUAUAACGGGGCUAAAAUGAGUACCGAAGCUUUAGACUUAGUUUUACUAAGUGGUAGGAGAGCGUUGUAUUUGCGUUGAAGGUAUACCGGUAAGGAGUGCUGGAGCGAAUACAAGUGAGCAUGCAGGCAUGAGUAGCGAUAAUUGGGGUGAGAAUCCCCAACGCCGUAAACCCAAGGUUUCCUACGCGAUGCUCGUCAUCGUAGGGUUAGCCGGGUCCUAAGCAAAGUCCGAAAGGGGUAUGCGAUGGAAAAUUGGUUAAUAUUCCAAUGCCAACUAUAAUGUGCGAUGGAAGGACGCUUAGAGUUAGAGGAGCCAGUGGAUGGUAUGCUGGUCGAAAGGCGCAGGUUGGAAUUCAGGCAAAUCCGAAUUCCUUUAAGCCGAGGCCCUACAGGUGCGUGAAAUUCUUCGGAAUAGAUCGUAUAUUCUUGAUACUGUCGAGCCAAGAAAAGUUUCUAAGUUUAGUUAUAGUUGCCCGUACCGUAAACCGACACAGGUGGGUGGGAUGAGUAUUCUAAGGCGCGUGGAAGAACUCUCUUCAAGGAACUCUGCAAAAUAGCACCGUAUCUUCGGUAUAAGGUGUGCCUAACUUUGUGAAGGAUUUACUCCGUAAGCAUUGAAGGUUACAACAAAGAGUCCCUCCCGACUGUUUACCAAAAACACAGCACUCUGCUAACUCGUAAGAGGAUGUAUAGGGUGUGACGCCUGCCCGGUGCUCGAAGGUUAAUUGAUGACGUUAGCUCUGCGAAGCGUUUGAUCGAAGCCCGAGUAAACGGCGGCCGUAACUAUAACGGUCCUAAGGUAGCGAAAUUCCUUGUCGAUUAAAUAUCGACCUGCAUGAAUGGCGUAACGAGAUGGGAGCUGUCUCGAAGAGGGAUCCAGUGAAAUUGUAGUGGAGGUGAAAAUUCCUCCUACCCGCGGCAAGACGGAAAGACCCCGUGGACCUUUACUACAGCUUGACACUGCUAUUGGGAUAAAAAUGUGCAGGAUAGGCGGGAGGCUUUGAUCCAUAGACGCCAGUUUAUGGUGAGCCAUUGUUGAGAUACCGCUCUUUUUUAUUCUGAUAGCUAACUAGCUUGAGUUAUCCUCAAGUAGGACAAUGUCUGGUGGGUAGUUUGACUGGGGCGGUCGCCUCCCAAAAUGUAACGGAGGCUUACAAAGGUUGGCUCAGAACGGUUGGAAAUCGUUCGUAGAGUAUAAAGGCAUAAGCCAGCUUAACUGCGAGACAUACACGUCAAGCAGAGACGAAAGUCGGUCUUAGUGAUCCGGUGGUUCUGUGUGGAAGGGCCAUCGCUCAAAGGAUAAAAGGUACCCCGGGGAUAACAGGCUGAUCUCCCCCAAGAGCUCACAUCGACGGGGAGGUUUGGCACCUCGAUGUCGGCUCAUCGCAUCCUGGGGC